GACGGAAGGUGCAAGCGUUGCUCGGAAUCACUGGGCGUAAAGGGUGCGUAGGCGGCUUGGUGGGUCUGGUGUGAAAGCCCCGGGCUCAGCCCGGGAAGGGCACUAGAAACUGCCGAGCUGGAGUGCCGGAGGGGAGAGUGGAAUUCCUGGUGUAGCGGUGAAAUGCGUAGAUAUCAGGAGGAACACCGGUGGCGAAGGCGGGUCUCUGGGCCGAUACUGACGCUGAGGAGCGAAAGCGUGGGGAGCGAACAGG
rnacentral:rRNA from 1 species